rnacentral:tRNA from 1 species
GGCUUCGUAUCUCAGCUGGUAGAGCGUGCACGUACAAAGCGUAGGUGGCAUCCAUGCUUGGGUUCGAAUCCCACCGAGGCUA